AUGUUAGAUCUAAGCUUCGAAGGGCACGGCGGCGCCAUGGCGACGGAGCAGAAUCUAAUGAAUACUGGAGUAUACGGGCAAGAAAGAUUCCUUGGUUUAUUAGAAAGUGCGAAUAAUGGGGAGCUAUUCUACGGCGAUGAGAUGAGUGCACUAGAAACAGUCAAUGAAGGAAGCGAGUCAGAUAUGUAUUCAGGUUCAGAGAAGAUGCUGUCAAAUGUUCAUGCAUGGCAAAACAAUGACAAGGCCAACAAAGUAUGUAUGCAAAUUUCAGAGACCAGGGGGGGGGGCGAGCAGAUUUCUGAAAGAGAUACUUCUUGGGUUAGAAGGCAUCGGCGAGGAGCAAUGCCCGAUGAGAGAACUAUACAAGCAGAGAGGGUUACAACACUUGAAAGUGCAAUUAGGGGUUUUGCUGAAAGGAAAACUGCUUCAGUCAUUACACCAAAUCUAGGAUUGAGUUAUGAUUCGUUGACAGAAGCUUACGACUUUUACAACCUUUAUUCAUGGGAAUGUGGCUUUGGCAUACGUUACGGGAAGAGCAGAAUUAAUGUGAAAGGAGCGAGGUGUAUGAAGGAGUUUGUUUGCAGUUGUUCGGGGAAACCGAAUAAGGAGAAUAGCAGUUCAUGCAGAACAAAGUGUCGUGCAAUGGUGAGGCUACUACAAACUGAUGACGGGGGGUGGUAUAUAUAUGAGAACAAGACAGAGCACAAUCAUGAACAGCUUGAUACUUGUGCUUCUAAGCUACAUUUUCCUUCGCAUAGGCACAUAUAUAAGUACACUAGAGAAUUGGUGGCGCAUCUUAGGCAGAAUAAUGUUAAUCUUAGUAAGGUGUACAACAUCAUUGGAACCUAUUUUGGGAGGAUUGAGAACGUCCCAUUCACCAAAAGGUGCUUGCGUACACUGUGUGGGAAAAUUAGUAGAGAACAAGCUGAUGACGAUGUGCGUAAAACAAUAGAACUUUUCUCGGAGAUGAAAGAGAAAGAUAGUGAUUUUUCUUACGCAGUUCAAGUGGAUGAUGAAAGCAGGAUUAGGACAUUGUUGUGGUCUAAUGGAAGAAGUAAAUUGCAAUACCACUAUUUCGGAGAUGCAGUGACAUUUGACACUACUUACAAGACAAACAUGUACGACAUGCCAUUUGGGCUGUUUGUAGGUGUCAACAAUCAUUUCCAGAGCACUAUUUUUGUUGGCGUUCUUAUGAGGGACGAGCAGUCAGAAAUUUACGAAUGGGUUUUCCAUGAAUUUGUGAAGAUGAUGGGAGGAAAGGUUCCGGUCACUAUUCUAACUGGUAAUUUUCUUUGUUUGUUUUCGAUAUGA
rnacentral:rRNA from 1 species